rnacentral:rRNA from 1 species
AGUGAACGCUGGCGGUAGGCCUAACACAUGCAAGUCGAACGGCAGCACAGUAAGAGCUUGCUCUUACGGGUGGCGAGUGGCGGACGGGUGAGGAAUACAUCAGAAUCUACUUUUUCGGGGGGGAUAACGUAGGGAAACUUACGCUAAUACCGCAUACGACCUACGGGUGAAAGCAGGGGAUCUUCGGACCUUGCGCGAUUGAAUGAGCCGAUGUCGGAUUAGCUAGUUGGCGGGGUAAAGGCCCACCAAGGCGACGAUCCGUAGCUGGUCUGAGAGGAUGAUCAGCCACACUGGAACUGAGACACGGUCCAGACUCCUACGGGAGGCAGCAGUGGGGAAUAUUGGACAAUGGGCGCAAGCCUGAUCCAGCCAUACCGCGUGGGUGAAGAAGGCCUUCGGGUUGUAAAGCCCUUUUGUUGGGAAAGAAAAGCAGCAGGUUAAUACCCCGCUGUUCUGACGGUACCCAAAGAAUAAGCACCGGCUAACUUCGUG